UUCCGGUUGAUCCCGCCGGACCUGACUGCUAUCGGAUUGAUACUAAGCCAUGCGAGUCAUUGUAGCAAUACAAGGCAUACGGCUCAGUAACGCGUAGUCAACCUAACCUAUGGACGGGAAUAACCUCGGGAAACUGAGAAUAAUGCCCGAUAGAACACUAUACCUGGAAUGGUUUGUGUUCCAAAUGAUUUAUCGCCAUAGGAUGGGACUGCGGCCUAUCAGUUUGUUGGUGAGGUAAUGGCCCACCAAGACUAUUACAGGUACGGGCUCUGAGAGGAGUAGCCCGGAGAUGGGUACUGAGACACGGACCCAGGCCCUAUGGGGCGCAGCAGGCGAGAAAACUUUGCAAUGUGCGAAAGCACGACAAGGUUAAUCCGAGUGAUUUGUGCUAAACGAAUCUUUUGUUAGUCCUAGAAACACUAACGAAUAAGGGGUGGGCAAGUUCUGGUGUCAGCCGCCGCGGUAAAACCAGCACCUCAAGUGGUCAGGAUGAUUAUUGGGCCUAAAGCAUCCGUAGCCGGCUCUGUAAGUUUUCGGUUAAAUCUGUACGCUUAACGUACAGGCUGCCGGGAAUACUGCAAAGCUAGGGAGUGGGAGAGGUAGACGGUACUCGGUAGGAAGUGGUAAAAUGCUUUGAUCUAUCGAUGACCACCUGUGGCGAAGGCGGUCUACCAGAACACGUCCGACGGUGAGGGAUGAAAGCUGGGGGAGCAAACCGGAUUAGAUACCCGGGUAGUCCCAGCUGUAAACUAUGCAAACUCAGUGAUGCAUUGGCUUGUGGCCAAUGCAGUGCUGCAGGGAAGCCGUUAAGUUUGCCGCCUGGGAAGUACGUACGCAAGUAUGAAACUUAAAGGAAUUGGCGGGGGAGCACCACAAGGGGUGAAGCCUGCGGUUCAAUUGGAGUCAACGCCGGG
rnacentral:rRNA from 1 species